rnacentral:rRNA from 1 species
AGAGUUUGAUCAUGGCUCAGGACGAACGCUGGCGGCGUGCCUAAUACAUGCAAGUCGAGCGGAUUGAAGGGAGCUUGCUCCCUGAUAUUAGCGGCGGACGGGUGAGUAACACGUGGGCAACCUGCCCUGCAGAUGGGGAUAACUCCGGGAAACCGGGGCUAAUACCGAAUAAUCGGUUCUUCCGCAUGGAAGAACUCUGAAAGACGGUUUCGGCUGUCACUGCAGGAUGGGCCCGCGGCGCAUUAGCUAGUUGGUGGGGUAACGGCCUACCAAGGCGACGAUGCGUAGCCGACCUGAGAGGGUGAUCGGCCACACUGGGACUGAGACACGGCCCAGACUCCUACGGGAGGCAGCAGUAGGGAAUCUUCCACAAUGGACGAAAGUCUGAUGGAGCGACACCGCGUGCGGGAUGAAGGCCUUCGGGUCGUAAACCGCUUUUUCGUGGGAAUACUUCGAAUGUACCACAAGAAUAAGUCACGGCUAAUCACGUGCCAGCAGCCGCGGUAAUACGUGAGUGGCAAACGUUAUCCGGAAUUACUGGGCGUAAAGCGUCCGUAGGGGGUAUGAUAAGUGCAAUGUUAAACAUGCCGGCUCAACCGGUAUUCGCAUUGUAUACUGUCAUGCUUGAGGUAUGCAGAGGUGUGUAGAAUUCCCAGAGUAGGGGUAAUAUCCGUAGAUACUGGGAGGAAUACCAAUAGCGAAGGCAACACACUGGGCAUCACCUGACCCUGAAGCGACGAAAGCGUGGGGAGCGAACCGGAUUAGAUACCCCGGUAGUCC